rnacentral:rRNA from 1 species
UACGGAGGAUGCAAGCGUUAUCCGGAAUGAUUGGGCGUAAAGCGUCCGCAGGUGGCUAUGUAAGUCUGCUGUUAAAGAGUGAGGCUCAACCUCAUAAAAGCAGUGGAAACUACAUGGCUAGAGUGCGUUCGGGGCAGAGGGAAUUCCUGGUGUAGCGGUGAAAUGCGUAGAGAUCAGGAAGAACACCGGUGGCGAAGGCGCUCUGCUAGGCCGUAACUGACACUGAGGGACGAAAGCUAGGGGAGCGAAUGGG